AUCAUGCUUAGGAAGUCUGAUGUCCCAACGCAAAUGUUAGUACGUCAUAGACUGCGUGGACGAACUUUAGAUAUGGAAUUUUAAGACUAGUCCCAUUAUCAAUUCCCCGUAAAAUAUUCUGUUUCUUCAUGAAUAUUUUUUCCGUUCAAUUCAGGUAAUGUUUAUUCUAUUCAAUCUAUUCGAAUUUUAAGAAAUGUCUGGUGCUGAUGAAUUUUGGAAUCAUCACUAUUAUAAAAUGAUGAAAGACGUGACGUCUUUUCUGGGUCAAUGGCCCUAUCAAUCAACGAGAAGACAUAUAUUCUCUGCCAUUGUCACAUUUUCUAUCCUUGGCAUGAUGCUUGUAGUACAGUUAUCAGCCUUUUGGAUAAAUCGACACAAUAUUGACACGGUUCUGGACUGUUGUGUUCCAUUCGUUGCAGAUUUAAUGAUAUUCGUAAAGUACACCAAUAAUUGUUGUCAUUAUAACAUGAUGAUUCACCUUUUCGAACAAAUUAAAUGUAAUUGGACGAUUCUUCCGAAAAAUAAUGGACUUCAUUGCCUCCAUAAUUACAGUGCCUUCGGACAAAAAUUCGUUAAGUUUUACAUGACUGCGAUGUGGGCAAGUUGGGCAAGCUAUGUGAGUGAACCCUUGCAGGAGAGAUUGACCGUUUACCUGCUGUACCCCAAUGUUACAUUGGCAAAACGAUUUUCAAUGCCACUGGAAUUCGGUCCCAUCGACGUGGACACAUGGUAUUAUUAUCUCUGGUGUGCAACAUCAUUUGGUAUUUUCACGCGUUUGACAGUCAUUGGUUCAUGCGAUGUAAUAAUGUUCACAUUCUCUGAGCAUGCAAAUGGAUUACUCAAGGGAUUAGGAUAUGCAAUUGAGCAUUUGCCAUCGCACGAUGGAUGUACAAGUGAGGAGGAAUGUUAUGAGUAUAUGAAACGCUGUGCCAUGAUUCAUAGCCGAGCAAUAGAUUUUGCAGAACACGUUAGAGACAUGUACCUCUGGUCUUUCUUCGGAAUAAUUGGACUUAAUAUGACCUUAAUUAGUAUAACUGGUGUACAGAUAGUGAAUAGUAUGGCUAACUGGAAAAAAAUGACGAAAUUCGUUAUUAAUAUCAUAACUCAGAUGCUACAUCUCUUUGUCGAGUGCUUCGUAGCUCAACGGGUGAUGGACGCCAGUUCCAACUUGAAGGAGACUAUAACAAACGCAAAGUGGUAUGAUGCUUCGAUAAAGACCCAGAAGUUAAUACCGUUGAUGCUUCUGAGGGCUCAAAAUCCUGUUGUAUUGACGGCUGGAAAGGUGAUCAUUAUGGGCAUGAAUACCUUUGCUGUGGUCCUAAAAACAGCGGCAUCUUAUUUCACGGUUUUUUUGGCAAUGCAAUGAGAUGUAUGAAAUAUUUAUUGGUCUCUUUCACUACCGUUGGCCGAUAUGAAUCAAAAAUAUUCGAUAAAAUAGUGGUGUUUUAGAUACAAUAUGCUGUUACAAUUUUUUCAACUGUAUUGACACUCAGCUCAUGAUCAUGGACAAAUUCCUAGAAGAGGCCCAGGUUUACGAUGUCACAGGCCAAAUCAAAGACCAAGCGGCCAUGAAGAUACUCUGGGUUGAAUAGCCCUCGGCGUCCACUUUUAUGUAGGAAGU